rnacentral:misc_RNA from 1 species
UCUCCGUAGGUGAACCUGUGGAGGGAUCAUUACCGAGUGAGGGCCUCCGGGUCCGACCUCCAACCCCUUUGUUGUACCGACCCUGUUGCCUCGGGGGCGACCCGGCCUUCGGGCGUCUUGGGGCCCCCGGUGGACCACUCAACACUGCAUCUUUGCGUCGGAGUUUAAGUAAAUUAAACAAAACUUUCAACAACGGAUCUCUUGGUUCCAGCAUCGAUGAAGAACGCAGC